rnacentral:lncRNA from 10 species
GGUGGCUGGACAUCGAGAGGAACACACCAGUAGAAGAACACACCAGCAGAUGCUGGCAGGCUACUGAUGGCAGAACGACAGGGACGCCAAGGGGAAUUCGGCCAAGGGUGGGUGGUCUGAGGAGAUCCCCGCCACUGAGCAGCCAACCCCAGGGGAAGACUACCUUCCCACUUAAACCUCUUCUGUCUCCCCAUCAAUCUGCUGAGAACUGCUUCCACUACUCUACAAAACUUUGCACUCACUCUCCAAGACCACAUGUGAUCCGAUUUUUCUGGUACAGUAGGGCAAGAAUCCAGGGAUACAGAAGCCCUCUGUCCUUGCAAUUUAGCAGAGGCUCUGAUUGAACUGACUAACAAGCUGCCUGCGGACGGCUAAGCUGAAAGAGCAAACUGUAACACACGCCCACUGGGGCUCCAGGAACUGUAAACAACCAAUCCUAGAUGCUGCCGUGGGGUCGGAGCCCACGCUCUCCACCAUCUGCUCAUCGGCAUGCUUGUCCUAGGGGUUUGAGCAGUGGGGCACCGAAGAAGCAAGCCACACCGCUGUCACACACCCAGCAAGGAGUAUAAGGGAAAACUUCUCCCGUUUCGUUUAUAAUAUGAGCACUGACAAUAUAUGUCCAUGGAUAGAGCAGCAGAAAAGAGGAAGUACUAAAGGAACCCAUGGAAUAUUGACCAAAAUCAACUAUUAAAUGCCAGUGAAAAUGUCAAAGAAUUAAAAGUAUAACUUGAUUUUAAAACCAGAAAAUGCAACAGUUCCUCUCAUCUGGAAAUGUAAGGGAAGAGAAAUUAUCUCUCUCAAAGCCUUUUGAGGCAAAAAUUAAAUCUAAAAAUUAAUUUCAGAAUAUCUACAAAGUGAUAAUGCAAACAUAUAACAAAACAUACGCAAUCUAAUUAAAGCAGUGAUAUACAUAUGAGACAUAUUUUAUAUAUGUAUAUGUACGUAUGUGUAAAUACAUAUAGGUAUGUAACUAUAGAUAAAAGAAUACAAAUUAAUACAUUAAGUUAAUAAGGAUUAUAUUUAAAAUAUUUAGGGAACAAAUCUAUAAAGUUGAAGCAGAAAAAGUUAAUGAAGAUAAAAUCAUUGAGGUCAAUUAAUUUAAGCAGUUCAAUUCACAAGUUGUCCAAAAACUGCUUCUUUGAAAAAGAAUAU